rnacentral:rRNA from 1 species
ACAGCAGUCGCCGCGGUAAUACGAGGGGUGCAAGCGUUAUUCGGAUUGAUUGGGUGUAAAGGGUGUGCAGACGGCUUAUUAAGUCACUUGUUAAAUUCUUCGGCCUAACUGAAGGUCUGCAAGUGAUACUGAUGAGCUAGAGGGUGGAAGAGAGAAGUGGAAUUCUCGGAGUAGCGGUAAAAUGCGUAGAUCUCGAGAGGAACACCAACGGCGAAAGCACUCUGCUGGGCCGACACUGACACUGAGAGACGAAAGCUAGGGGAGCAAAUGGGAUUAGAUACCCCAGUAGUCCCUGUCUCUUAUAC